rnacentral:rRNA from 1 species
AUAGCGUAUAUUAAAGUUGUUGCAGUUAAAAAGCUCGUAGUUGAACCUUGGGUCUGGCUGGUCGGUCCGCCUCACCGCGAGUACUGAUCCGGCUGGACCUUUCCUUCUGGGGAACCUCAUGGCCUUCACUGGCUGUGGGGGGAACCAGGACUUUUACUGUGAAAAAAUUAGAGUGUUCAAAGCAGGCCUUUGCUCGAAUACAUUAGCAUGGAAUAAUAGAAUAGGACGUGUGGUUCUAUUUUGUUGGUUUCUAGGACCGCCGUAAUGAUUAAUAGGGAUAGUCGGGGGCGUCAGUAUUCAGCUGUCAGAGGUGAAAUUCUUGGAUUUGCUGAAGACUAACUACUG